rnacentral:rRNA from 1 species
AGAGAGAGACAUGCGCGCAUAUCAAUAAGCGGAGGAAAAGAAACUAACUAGGAUUCCCUUAGUAACGGCGAGUGAAGCGGGAAGAGCUCAAAUUUGAAAUCUUCAAGGUUCUACCUUGACGAAUUGUAGUUUAAAGAAGUGUUUUCUGUUGAAGUUUUGGUAAAAGUUCUUUGGAAUAGGGACAUCAUAGAGGGUGAGAAUCCCGUAUUUGACCAUUAUUUUCAGCUGUGUGAUACACUUUCAAAGAGUCGGAUUGUUUGGGAAUGCAGUCCAAAAUGGGUGGUAAAUUUCAUCUAAAGCUAAAUAUUGGCGAGAGACCGAUAGCGAACAAGUACCGUGAGGGAAAGAUGAAAAGAACUUUGAAAAGAGAGUUAAACAGUACGUGAAAUUGUCAAAAGGGAAGCGUUUGACACCAGUGUUGUUUUCUCGAAAAUCAAUUCAUGAUGGCUUGAUGCUAGGUUGUUAUGACUUUAUCAGCAUACUGUCUAGUUUUCUUGUCUUUGUGAAUGCACUUUUCGUUUAACAAGUCAACAUCAAUUUCUUUUGUUGUAAAAGGGUCAGAUGGAAGGUGGCUUCAGCUUUCGGUAGAAGUGUUUAUAGCCUUUUACCUCUGCAGUCGGAGAGAUUGAGGUCUGCAGCGUAGAUCCUUCGGGGUUAGAUACAUUUGUGCUAAGUUAUAGCCUUUCAUAGACAACUUGUUGACUAUGAUUCAGUCAUGUAGCUUACUCGCUUAUGUUAUUUUACCUACGCUUAGGAUGUUGACAGCAGUAUAGACUGU